rnacentral:rRNA from 1 species
GACGAACGCUGGCGGCGUGCUUAACACAUGCAAGUCGAACGGAAAGGCCCUGCUUUUGUGGGGUGCUCGAGUGGCGAACGGGUGAGUAACACGUGAGUAACCUGCCCUUGACUUUGGGAUAACUUCAGGAAACUGGGGCUAAUACCGGAUAGGAGCUCCUGCUGCAUGGUGGGGGUUGGAAAGUUUCGGCGGUUGGGGAUGGACUCGCGGCUUAUCAGCUUGUUGGUGGGGUAGUGGCUUACCAAGGCUUUGAGGGGUAGCCGGCCGGGGAGGGUGACCGGCAACAUGAGUCCUGCGGUAGGCCCAAGCCUCGAAGGUGCGGCAGUGGGGGAAAUCUUUACGCAGGGGCGGCGCGUGUGUGGAGAAAGCCCCGGGGGCGGAAUACGCGCUUAGGGGGGAAAACCCAAUUUGGCAGUAACUAUGCCGGUCUUGACGGUAACGGAUAAGAAAGCCCCGGCUAACUACGUG